AUUGAACGCUGGCGGCAUGCUUUACACAUGCAAGUCGAACGGUAACAGGUUAAGCUGACGAGUGGCGAACGGGUGAGUAAUGCAUCGGAACGUGCCCGGUCGUGGGGGAUAACGCAGCGAAAGCUGCGCUAAUACCGCAUACGAUCUGAGGAUGAAAGCGGGGGACCGUAAGGCCUCGCGCGAUCGGAGCGGCCGAUGUCAGAUUAGGUAGUUGGUGGGGUAAAGGCCUACAAAGCCGACGAUCUGUAGCUGGUCUGAGAGGACGACCAGCCACACUGGGACUGAGACACGGCCCAGACUCCUACGGGAGGCAGCAGUGGGGAAUUUUGGACAAUGGGCGCAAGCCUGAUCCAGCAAUGCCGCGUGCAGGAAGAAGGCCUUCGGGUUGUAAACUGCUUUUGUACGGAGCGAAAAGGCUCUCUCUAAUACAGGGGGUUCAUGACGGUACCGUAAGAAUAAGCACCGGCUAACUACGUGCCAGCAGCCCGCCGUAA
rnacentral:rRNA from 1 species